CGUUCCAUGGCCAAACUAGUCAAGGCAUCGCCGAUCAGACGCGAAGAUCCGGGUUCGAGUCCCGCUGCAACGG
rfam:Operophtera brumata OBRT01_Sc03558, whole genome shotgun sequence.